AGAAGUUAUUGAAAGGAUAGUUGACAGAAGAGCCGGACUCAAAAUCUCCAAUACCAGCACAUUCAUCACCCAGUUCAUCUUGGCGAUUAUCUAGACAGCUGCUACUACCACUAACACUACCAUCAUCGCUAGAACCCUCAUACUCACUGCCUGCAUAUACAUGUUCAUCUGAAGGAUUCCAAGCGAAGCGACUAGUGAAGUAACUAGUAUCCAGUGCACCUUCGGAUGCAGGCACAAAAGCCGCCUUCUGUCUAGCAAGUGUGUCCCAGUUAAUAUCUCUAAAAAAUUGAUGCUGCUUCACCUCUGAUGCUCCUCGUGCUCCAAGUCUCAUAUUAGGAUCUUCCGUCAGUAAUUGGUCAAUCAGAUCUUGUGCUUCACCGCUCAUUUCAUCAGAAACCAUUGGCCAAGGUAUCUUACGAUUGAGUAUAUUAUCGAAUAUUUUCUGAGGAUGCUCUGCAUUAAAAGGAGGAACGCCAACAAUCAACUCAAAGAGAAUAAUGCCCACGGACCACCAAUCAGCCGUGAAACCAUGCCCUGUUCCUAGAAGAAUCUCAGGCGCCAAAUAGUCAGGUGUACCUACUGCAGAACGUUUCUUCCGCCUUUCUUCCUGAUGCUCAGAUGCAGAUAGCUGAGAUUCAUCAUCUUCCAUCAUGGAUGUUCCACUGACAGCAGGACCAGAUAAAUCAUCUGUGCUAUUGAUAAGACCA
rnacentral:misc_RNA from 1 species